GCGAACGUUGGCGGCGCGCUUAACACAUGCAAGUCGCACGAGAAAGGGGGCAACCCCGAGUAAAGUGGCGCACGGGUGCGUAACACGUAGGCAAUCUUCCCUCAGGAGGGGGAUAACCCUCCGAAAGGAGAGCUAAUACCGCAUGAGACCACGGCUGCUUCGGCAGCUGCGGUCAAAGCUGGCCUCUACUUGUAAGCCAGCACCUGAGGACGAGCCUGCGGCCCAUCAGCUAGUUGGCAGCGUAACGGACUACCAAGGCUAAGACGGGUAGCUGGUCUGAGAGGAUGAUCAGCCACACUGGCACUGAAAACACGGGCCAGACUCCUACGGGAGGCAGCAGUGGGGAAUAUUGGACAAUGGGCGAAAGCCUGAUCCAGCGACGGCCGCGUGGGUGAUGAAGGCCUUCGGGUUGUAAAGCCCUGUGGGCAGGGAAGAAAACGUUGCAGUCGAACAGGCUGCGACCUUGACGGUACCUGCUCAGAAAGCACCGGCUAACUCUGUGCCAGCAGCCGCGGUAAGACAGAGGGUGCAAACGUUGCUCGGAAUUACUGGGCGUAAAGCGCGUGUAGGCGGGUCGGCAUGUCGGGUGUGAAAUCCCCAGGCUCAACCUGGGAACUGCAUUCGAAACUACCGGUCUCGAGUGGUGGAGAGGGAAGUGGAAUUCCUGGUGUAGAGGUGAAAUUCGUAGAUAUCAGGAGGAACACCAGUGGCGAAGGCGGCUUCCUGGACACCAACUGACGCUGAGACGCGAAAGCGUGGGGAGCAAACAGGAUUAGAUACCCUGGUAGUCCACGCUGUAAACGAUGGGCACUAGGUUGUCGCGGGUUUUUGACCCCCGCGGUGCCGUAGCAAACGCGUUAAGUGCCCCGCCUGGGGAGUACGGCCGCAAGGCUAAAAACUCAAAGGAAUUGACGGGGGCCCGCACAAGCGGUGGAGCAUGUGGUUUAAUUCGACGCAACGCGCAGAACCUUACCCGGGCUAGAAAAACUAGGAAUCUCUCAGAGACGAGGGAGUGCCCGCAAGGGAACCUAGGUCCAGGUGCUGCAUGGCUGUCGUCAGCUCGUGUCGUGAGAUGUUGGGUUAAGUCCCGCAACGAGCGCAACCCUUGUCAUUAGUUGCUACGAAAGGGCACUCUAAUGAGACUGCCGGUGACAAACCGGAGGAAGGUGGGGAUGACGUCAAGUCCUCAUGGCCCUUAUGGACCUAGGGCUACACACGUGCAUACAAUGGCCUGGUACAAAGCGGCUGCCAACCCGCGAGAGGGAGCCUAAUCCCAUAAAAACCAGGUCGUCAGUUCAGGAUUCGUAGUCUGCAACUCGACUGCCGUGAAGGUCGGAAUCGCUAGUAAUCGCAGGAUCAGCACUGUCCGCGGUGAAUACGUUUCCCGGGUCCUUGUACACACCGCCCGUCACACCAUGGGAGUCAAUUGCUCCAGGAAGUCGCCGUGCCAACCGCAAGGAGGCAGGCGGCCCCAAGGAGUGAUUGGUAACUGGGGUG
rnacentral:rRNA from 1 species